GACGAACGCUGGCGGCGUGCUUAACACAUGCAAGUCGAACGGAAAGGCCCUGCUUGCGGGGUGCUCGCGUGGCGAACGGGUGUGUGUAACGUGUGUGUUCUGCGCUGCACUUCGGGGGAUGCCUGGGGAACAGGGGGUAUUAUCGCGUAGGAGACCUCCUGCGGGUGGGGGGUGGAUAGAUUUUUCGGUGUAGGAUGAGCGCGCGGGCGGUCUGCUUGUUGGUGGGGUAAUGGGCUACCAAGGAGGGGUCGGGUAGCCGGCCGGGGAGGGUGGACGGCCACCGUGGGACUGAGAUACGGCCCAGACUCCUACGGGGGGCAGCAGUGGGGAAUAUUGCACAAUGGGCGCGAGCCUGAUGCAGCGACGCCGCGGGGGGGAUGACGGCCUUCGGGUUGUAAACUCCUUUCGCUAGGGACGAAGCUUUUUGUGACGGUACCUAGAGAAGAAGCACCGGCUAACUACGUG
rnacentral:rRNA from 1 species